AACCCAUGAUAUGGGCAUUUUCUCAGCAUCACUUUAAAUCUCUCUCAUGUUUCACAUAAGGCUUCAUCUGAUCCGUAUAUGAACAUAGAAAUAUCAUACUUUAUAUU
rnacentral:snoRNA from 1 species